CAUAUGCUCCCACAUAAAUCCCUUUACUUUUAAUUUUCUCUCUUUUAAUCAUUACACAUGUGAAACAUUGACUUUGGCAAAAAAAGUAGUACAAUAUUUUUGAGGCUCAUAUAAUUGGAUAGAUUUCAAUAGAUUCUGCUCUGAAUAUUGAAAGAAAAUAGAAUAAUCUAUAGAUUUUGUGUAUUAGCUGCUUAGUCCUGCUUCAUUUUUUGGUGUGAUUGACUUGCUUUCAAGAUGAUGAUAUUUGAGGAAAUGGGGUUCUGUGGAGAUCUUGAUUUCUUCCCUGCUCCGCUAAAGAAAGUGGAAGUGAAAGUGGUUGCCCCACAGAAUCAGAUUGAGCCGGAUUCUAUGGUGGAUGAUGAUUAUAGUGAUGAGGAGAUUGAUGUUGAUGAGCCUAACUUUGAUGUUCAUGAUCAAUUCUAUUUUCUGAGCUUAUAUUCUAUGCUAUGUAUUGAUUUAUCGUAAACAUGACUGCAAGUAGGUGUUGAGGGCGUCUUCUAUGAAUGAAUUGGAAAUUGAUGCUUAUAUGAGAAGUGGGUGUUGAAGGCAUCUUAUCCUUAUUCAUACUCCUUAUACAUAUAUUGUGGGUGUGUAUAUACUAUGUAAUUUGGCAACUAUUAUAGUAAAUAAUUGUUGAAACGUAAUGUGUAUUACACAAUUAUACAUUAAAUAUACUAUUAUACUUUAUUAACAUGCAUGAUGUUUUACUAACAACAAU